rnacentral:rRNA from 1 species
CUGGCGGCGUGCCUAAUACAUGCAAGUCGAACGGUCUUUCGAUGGAAGCUUGCUUCCACUGAGAAGAUAGUGGCGAACGGGUGAGUAACACGUGGGGUAACCUGCCCAUAAGAGGGGGAGUAACAUCCGGAAACGGGUGCUAAUACCGCAUAGUUUUCUUGAUCGCAUGAUCGGGAAAGGAAAGACGGCCUUUGUGCUGUCGCUUAUGGAUGGACCCGCGGCGUAUUAGUUAGUUGGUGAGGUAACGGCUCACCAAGACGAUGAUACGUAGCCGACCUGAGAGGGUGAUCGGCCACAUUGGGACUGAGACACGGCCCAAACUCCUACGGGAGGCAGCAGUAGGGAAUCUUCCGCAAUGGACGAAAGUCUGACGGAGCAACGCCGCGUGAGUGAAGAAAAGGUUUUUCGGAUCGUAAAACUCUGUUGUCAGAGAAGAACAAGUUGGAGAGUAACUGCUCCAGCCUUGACGGUAUCUGACCAGAAAGCCACGGCUAACUACGUGCCAGCAGCGGC